ACAAAUCGGCACUCCGGAGUUGGUCUACACGACAGAUUGCUCGCUCAUGCGGGAUUGGGUGUGAGACCCCAGAUAGUCCUAUAUAUAAGAUAUAAUAGGGCUAAACUCUUAACUCGGCUUAAGCAUUUUGGGUGGUGGCAAGGCCCAAGAGGUUAAGAGAGUUAAGCGUGCUAGGACGGGAGUAGUCCUAGGAUGGGUGACCCCCUUGGAAGUUGGGGCGUCAUAGAUAUUAAAAUAGGGGAACCGCCCAACCAACCAAGUCACUGAUACGAAGUACAAGAAUCGACCUACCAGGUCAACAGAUACGCACAUAGAUAGAACCACUCUACUCCUACUCAGGAUACUAAGCAUGCAAACAACGAGUAGAGUAUAAUGGAAUAACAUGGGUGCAAGGCUCAAUAUAUACUCUGCAAUAAUAACAACAGAAGAGUAAGGGUAAGAAACCAUCACCAAGAGUGCACCACUGUACCGACGUCGGAUCGAAGUACCCACCUGUAAGGAUGUCGCGUCUGUCUCCUGACUGCAAAAGAAUGUCGACAGGACCUAGAAAGGGUCCACCGGGUUAGUAUCUAACCCACAACUAAUAACCACAGUAUCCACAACCCCACAAAUAAUUUCACGAAAAUCGGUUUCCCAAAACCGAUUACCGUAACUCGCCGGAAGUCCCGAAAACCACAUCGGGACGCCGUCGGGAACCACUAAGUGUCCCGAAACUCACCGACUUGUGCCACGAGUCACCUGCUGCACCAGAACACUCCGAUUUGGAUGUUUUGGUAGCAAACAUAAGAUAACAACACUACACAAUUAUCACCGGAUAAUUGUACGAAUCCGGAUUCCCGGAAGUGUCUAUUUCGACACCGGAACCCACCGUCGCUCAUCCAUCAUCACCGAACCUACAAAAUGAUGAUGGUGACUAGCCAACAAGGCUCAGCGACCACACACAAGACAACCAAACCACGUCGGAAGAAAUUCGAACCGAAACCGCGUUCUUUCGGCGAAUUUCGCCGAAAAACGCACCGAAAUCGACUCUUCGAUUUCCGCAAAAGCUAACGGAUCAUGGACAAUCAGUCCAGAGGUCAAACACACUCAUACACACUGUCCACAGUGGCCCUAGGGUGCACAAUUGCACAAAAGUCCCUCUAAUUACAUAAAAUCCUAUCAUUUUAUAUAAUUUGAGCGAUCAAGUGGCUCGUUCACGCAAAUUGAGGACUUCCAAAGUCCGCAGAGACACGUACUGACAGGUCUCGACGUACCGGAGGCCGUGCUCACGAUCCGGAGCACAACGGCUCGCUGUGGGAAGCGCGGGACCAACCCGAAGGUUCAGCGAACAGUACGCAGCCACGGAAAAACGCACCGAACAGGGCUAACCGGACACUGCUGAUCCAAGGUAAGGUGAGCACUGUGAUCAGCACUGACCAGCGAUCACCGUGCUCACCUCCGGAGGCAUCGGAAUAGCCUCGGAUCGCCGAAAACGCACGCACAAACACAGAACAACAGCCAAAAAGGCUCCAUAGGGUCGACACCGCAAAAACAGCGGAACGGGGCCUUCCCGACAGAAACCAAGGUGAGCACGAUGACCAGCAACUUGCCAGGAUCAUCGUGCUCCCUUCCAUAGAGGUCGGGGAGGCUCAGGAAGCUCGGAACAGUAAACAACCCACAAACAGCCUUAUUUCGGGCUUGGCCGGAGCAAGUUUGCUCCGGCCGGCUUCCGGCGGCACGGCGGCGCGCGCGGUGGCUAGGAUUGGGUGCGGGGGAGGGAAGGAACAAGGUGCUCACCUUAGGUGGCGACGAGGAGCGGCGGCGGCGAUGGCGGAACCAACCCAGCCCGCACCAGGUUCGGCUCGGGUCCAGGGUGGCUGCGACGCGGUAAUUGGCUGUCUGAGCCUGACGAGGACGUCAGGGCUUAAAGGAGGGGAGAUUGCGAGACCCCAGAUAGUCUUAUAUAUAAGAUAUAAUAGGGCUAAACUCUUAACCCGGCUUAAGCAUUUUGGGUGGUGGCAAGGCCCAAGAGGUUAAGAGAGUUAAGCGUGCUAGGACGGGAGUAGUCCUAGGAUGGGUCACCCCCUGGGAAGUUGGGGCGU
rnacentral:lncRNA from 1 species